AUACGGAGGGGGCGAGCGUUGUUCGGAAUCACUGGGCGUAAAGGGCGCGUAGGCGGUUAUGCUAGUCAGGUGUGAAAUCCCCAGGCUUAACUUGGGAACUGCGCUUGAAACUGCAUAGCUUGAGGCCGGGAGAGGAAAGUGGAAUUCCUGGUGUAGCGGUGAAAUGCGUAGAUAUCAGGAGGAACACCGGUGGCGAAGGCGGCUUUCUGGACCGGUUCUGACGCUGAAGCGCGAAAGCGUGGGGAGCAAACGGGAUUAGAUACCCCGGUAGUCCACGCUGUAAACGAUGAGCACUAGGUGUAGCGGGUAUCGACCCCUGCUGUGCCGCAGCUAACGCAAUAAGUGCUCCGCCUGGGGAGUACGGUCGCAAGACUGAA
rnacentral:rRNA from 1 species